UGACAGCUGUGGAGGCAGCCCGCGUUCCCGGCAUGCCCCGGGGCGGCGGGGUUGGCUCUAACGAAUUUGAAUGAGGAGCCUUAGCGCUUUCGGCGCCAUUUUCGAGUGAUGCCUGAGCCCAUCAAUCUAGCGGGAGAGAUGGGAUAACCUGUCCGACAGUAGAUCGCCCAUAGGACUCCACCGAAAAAAAUCACUUAAAAAUCUCCAAAAAUCACUUCAAGCCGAGGGCAGUCCGCGGAGCUUGGCCAGGGUUGGCGCAGUCGGUUUUGACCUUAAGGAGAGGGCCAGUUCUGGAGAACAACCUAACUUCUUUGACUGAGCACUCACAUAAUGCACUGGAACAUGUUAGGAGAUUAAGGUUUAUAACGAUAAAAUGAAGACCAUGAUAAAACAGCCUUGUACUUAGUUCAUCAGUUCUUACCUUGCAUAUAUUUUGACACCUAAGGCACAUGAAGAAAGGAUUGAGAUUGGAAGCUACAGACAUUGUCUGUUCUGAGCAGAGUUUCUGACAAUAGACCACUGUAGCAAAGGGCAAUAAAUGCCACUGAGAAUAUCCCUCAACACAAAUCUGCGAUAGGGAAUUGCUGGCAAUGGAGCCGAGCAAGCUCGGUAGCGGAGCAGGCCUCCUGGAGGAGAUCUACACCUCCCCGGGCCACCCAUCGCUCGCCGCUCCUCCCCACCCGCGGUCCCGGCGCCCGCAGGUUCCCGCCGCGCUGCUGGACUGGACUCUCCCCGAGCUCUCGGCCAGCCCCCCGCUCCUCCCGCAGGUGCCUGCCCUGCCAGAACGAGCCCCCACCCUGGCAGCACCUCUGGGACCACCUCGUGCUCCCCGAGAGGAGCACGGCGGAUGGCACUUAGCUAGCACCUCCGGGGGCCGGAACGGGCCCUGCCUGGAGCCGCGCGGCCGCCCAGCUCCCGGCUGCAAAAUGGACUCGUGGGGCCUAUCGGGCCCGCCCCGCCGCCCUCCUCCCCCGGCACCUCGGUCCGCCUCCCGGGUCGGGAUUCGCCUUUGUUCCGCCUCCCGCGUCUUGCCUUUCCCAGGGAGAAGGAGAGGGUGAGGGGGAGGCAGGAGUCCUUCCGGCGCCUCCAACCGCCUCCGCCGCUGCGCUCCGGGGAGAGGGGAGGGUCCCGAGCGGCCGCUCGGCCCAGGGGGGCUGCGCGCGCCCGGAGCUCCGAGCCCGCAGCGGGCGGGGCGCGCGGCGUCAGGGAAGGACCGGCGGGCGGAGGGGGGGCCCCGCCCAGAGCGCGCGGACGCAGGCGGCGUUGCCGUCUCAGGAGCCAGCCGGGAAGCCAGCGUGUGCAGCAAGAUGGUUGGGUUUGGAUUGUUGUACUUUUUUUUUUGUUCGUUGCAUUUUAAGGAACAAAAAAAAAAGCCCAACCCUUCACACCACUUCAUUUGCAUCUCUCAAGACCGGAAGCCCGGCCACAGCGGCCUGCGGGGCGGAAGACAGCUGACUGCCUCGCACCCCACAACCGGGCGGGUGGGACUGGGAGGGGUACUCCUGUUGGGACCAAAGCCAGGGGGUUCCAGCCAGAGCACAACCAAAGUGAACGGUUGUCCCCACACCCAACCUUGCACCUGUAUCUUUGCAGGCUUUAAGCUGAACACUAAGCGGCCCAAUUCUAUUUAAGAUUUCAUUCUGGAAAAAACGCUGCUCUUUCCUUCAGAGAGAAGGAGGAACUAAAAAUUGGCUUUAACUUAAUGAGCCACUAAUGGCUUUUCAGUUGCUAAUCUAACUCACUGUUCUGAUGUGCAGCUCUCUGUGUAAGGACCUUAUCCUAUAUAAUAAAAGCCUAAUAUGCUAAGUGUCCAUUCAACCAAGCAAAGCGUAAUAUGCUAAUGAUAUGCUAAGACCGUUCAACUGCUUGCUAUGAUGUGCACUGACCACCAGAGGGCAGACGCUCUGACCGGUGGGUUAGCUUGCUGCUGGGGUCCAACCAACCAGGACUGAGCAAGAUGGGCCCGAUACCCCUGGAGCCCUCCCACGGUCCCUUCCCAGCUGGCCAACCUCCCAUGCCCUCCCUGGCCCCGAUUGUGCACCAGUGGGGGUCCCACGGCCUGGCCUGCACCCUCUCGAAAUCUGGGACCCUUAGGGGGAUGUCAGAGAGUUGGUUUCGGCCCGAUCCCACAGGCCAGGCCAAGGGAACCCACUGGUGCACAAAUCUGUGCACCAGGCCUCUAGUCUAUAAACAUACCAGUAAAAGCCUAAACAACCAGACAACCGAACACCUGGAACGACAAGUCAACCGACCAGUAGCUAUGAUGUGCACUGACCACCAGGGGGCAAAUGCUCAAUGCAGAGCUGCCCCCUGGUGGUCAGUUCACUCCCACAGCCAACCUCCCACGGCCCCUCCCCCUUGCCGGCCAGCCCCCCAAAUAGGCCACGAUUGGGGGGCCAGCCAGCCAGUCUCCCAGGGUCCAUGCCCCUGGCCAGCCCCCCAAUAGGCCUCAAUCCCUGGGCAGGCCAAGGGACCCCACCCAUGCACGAAUUCAUGCACCAGGCCUCUAUUAUAAACACAUUAAGCACUUAACCAAUGAGCAGUUAUAAGAAGGAUGUAAAGAUGAAGGAAUGGCUUCUCCAAAUUUUAUAGUCUGGGGGAAGUGAAACAAGGACAAAAACAUCACAGAAUAUGCCCUGGGGUUGAGUUCACCCAGGUGGGGAAGUCUGGGCUUAGAAUUUGGGAGAAAGGUAUUUGAGGCCUACCAUACAUAGAAUUUGAGCCUCAUGACUAAUAAAUGUUUUGCUCAAAACCCAUAAAAAGCACCUCCCUACUAUUCUGAGAUGUCCAGUUCCUCACCAUGCCCAAGGUCCCUUAAAUCCAAUUUUGUCUUUCUAGAACAUUGCUAUAUUUAUGUCAUUUAAUCUUCAUAAGAACACUGUGGAGUGGAAAGUAUCCUCAUUCUAUAGAUGAAGAAAGGGAUGAAGGGAGUUCUCUGAAGUAAAUAAGAGGCAGAGCUAAAAUCAGGUUCCAGGUUUAGGUUCUUUCUAUAGCACAGUAACUGUCAGUGCCAAUAAAAACUGCACCCCAGUCUCCUAUAUUAGUAUUAUUUUUAAAGGCUGAUUUUUAGAAACAUUUUAAAUAUCUCACUAUUAAAAUGAUCCAAGAGAGAAAGUUAGGUUAUUAACACAUAAAUCACAAUUUAUCCUUACUGUAAUUGUAUAAUACAUAUUUAUAUAGUUCUAAUUAAUAAACUUCUGCCAAACUAAAUGUAAAACACUGGUUAAACAUGCAUAGAAACCUCUAGAUUGUUUUGUAAAAAAUUACUAAGAGAACAUUAUAUAGUUAAACUCCUGAGUAUAGAAAAAUAAGGAAGGAAUACGGGGCUCUCUCUCUUCCCAUGAUCCUAAAAGAAUAUCAGUCAGAGAAUCUCACAUAUAGUAUAACUAGAAAAGAGAGUAACGGUGGGCCAGAUUAAAACAUAUACACAGCUUACAUCCUUCCUGGAAGAGCACAAUGUAACUAGAUCCUGUUAGAGAUAACAUUGAGUGAUUGUCAAAAUUCUGUCACACUGGAAUUUCCUUCUAUUGACUGGUCUUCACAUAAGUAAACUAACAACUAAAGAUUGGAAUUAAUGCAUCGGCACAGUAAUAAGACUAUGGAUAUAGUCUUAUUUCUUUCUGUUGUUUGUGAUAAGUAUAUUUAUAGGUAGAACUUCAUAUAUACAUAAUCUUAUUUGUUGCAUUGUUUUAUUGUUUUCGUGCUGAACCUUGACAAAGAUUAAAAAAAAAAAAUGCCGCUUUCCUUCCACCUACCAAGACAUGUGAGCAGGUGUUCCAUUAAAAAACAAAAGGACAGUGUCAAUUUGGUGUACACUGAAAUAUAAAUUUUCAGAGUGGGGAACAUCUAAUAAGUAAGCCUGGAGCAAUUGUUGUGCAGGAGAGGGGUCCUGGUGAGCCUCCUCAGAUACGCUUGAACAUUUUAUUUUUCUGUCCUUCCCAACAGCUGUCAAAGUCGGGAGUGCAAGCCCCAACAUCCCCCAAAGAGGACCCCUAACAAUAAAAGGCACUAACAUCCCAAGUUGUGAAAAGAGCAAAGGCUUUGGAACCAGUUCUGCAUCCAUAAUCUAGCUCUACCACUUACUCACUAGUUGUUCAAGUUACUUAGCAUCUCAAAGCUUCAGUCUUCUGUAAAAUGGGGAUCAUGAUUUACUUGAUUAUGGAAAUAAUAUUUAAAGCCACCAACAUUGUGUCUGACACAUAGCAGGUGCUUAAUAAAUGGUUGCUACUGUUAUAUGAAAGAAGAAACCAUGCUGGGUUUGAUUACAGUUGCCUUGGAUUUAUAACUUUGAGGCUCCCAUGAUAGUCUUAAGCAGAGCUAAACUGCCUAUGAAGUAGAGGAAGUAAGCAUCAUAAUUUUUGCUUUUCCACACCCAGCCCAGGAUGACCUUUUAGAAAGUAUAUAUCCUUCCACUUCUAUCUAUACCUCCUUCCCUGCAUUUAAGGAGAGAAAAAGGGAAAAACGUCACACUCGAAGAAAGGAAGACUGCAGUUUUUAAAAAAGCUCUAGAAUUUUAGAGAAAUUUAACAUCCAAAAUAUUCCAUUUAAAAGAAAAAAAGUCUAUCUGUAAAAAUACAUUUAUCACAAAAGGCAGAAACUUACCUAAAACUUGAGAAAUUAAAGGAAUUGGUCCCUGGUUUGAAGAAAUUCCAGAUUCCAUAUAUUUCAGUUAUAUAGAAUUUUGGUUCUGAAUAUCUAGAUUUAUCAGAUACCUACAAGAAAUUGUACAAGUAUUGUGCAAGAAAUACAUUUCAUGUUUUUUUU